rnacentral:rRNA from 1 species
UACGUAGGGUGCGAGCGUUGUCCGGAAUUAUUGGGCGUAAAGAGCUUGUAGGCGGUUUGUCGCGUCUGCUGUGAAAAUCCGGGGCUCAACCCCGGACUUGCAGUGGGUACGGGCAGACUAGAGUGUGGUAGGGGAGACUGGAAUUCCUGGUGGAGCGGUGAAAUGCGCAGAUAUCAGGAGGAACACCCGUAGCGAAGGCGGCACUCUGGGCCGAUACUGACACUGAGGAGCGAAAGCGUGGGGAGCGAACAGG